UAUUUAAAAUUUUAUCCAUUUGUAUUGUUAAAAACUAACGUAAUUGACGAAAUAAUUAGACAGUGACAUAUAGCAUGCCACAUGUACUUCAUGCUGACGUACAUAAACUAAUUUUUAACAUAAUAAAUUGAUGAAAUUUUUAACA
rnacentral:pre_miRNA from 1 species